rnacentral:lncRNA from 1 species
UGUACAUUAAGAUGAUAAGGCAGAAAUUACAGCUCUUUCCCUUUGAAUAUCUCUUAUUUCUUCUUCUUCUUCUCUUUCUUUCAUUUUUAGUAGUUGUUGGGAAGUCUAAAACUGAUGUCACUCAGGAAAGGGCUUACUGUGACCCUGCAGAUCCUCAUUGCCUUGUAGCUUCCAGGGUGCUGAAAAGGUUAGAUAAUGGAAAGCAUGGAAACAUCCUGCCCAAAGAAUACAGCAGAGAUGAAGAUCAUGAAAAGGAUCAAGAAAUGACAAUCCAAGAUCCUGCCUCAUCCUUCUGAUUCUUCUCAAGCCUUUUUCAGUAUGGAACUUUCAAAUUAGCAGAAAAGUUUGUUGUGGUGGUGGUAACCGUGGCGGAGCGACAUGCUCUGGCACCCGGAGUGGCGAACAGGCAGGGGUGUCACUGGCGCGCAUUGGGGGGGGGCCCACGUUGCACGUCAUGGGGCGGGGGGCAUGCGUCGCGCUUCCCAGGGUGCACGGCGAGUGGUGGGCAUCCGGGGAGGGCCCUGCUGCCAUGGCACUCCCCAGGAAUGGCACCUGGGGCUGACCGCUCCCUCCGCCCCCCACCUUCAUGCGCCAGUGGGUGGUGAUUCUGUGCACCUCAACAAAACAUAGAAUGAGGGUCAUAUUGUUGAUGUAGGCUGCAGCUUACAAGUAAUCUUUGGGCCUCACCAGACUGGUGUAUUCUGCAGCAUGUUGUUGAUUUAAUAAUAAUAGUGCAGUAGUUGUGGGUCUAUACUGGACUGUUUUAUCAGUUCUUCCACAAUGCAGUAGCACAACCAGAUUCCUUCAUCUGCCCCAGCUGCAACAAAACACGUCUCUCAUGUAUCAGUCUCUACAGCCACAGCAGACACUGUGAUUCUCCAACAGUUUGGCUUCACCCACAAAGGCACACUCCUCCAUUGUCUCCUGAGAUAGAUGGAGGUCAACAACAACAGUGUUUGUUGCUGCACUAUUUGAUGGUCAUUCUUGUGCUAUAGCAUGAUAAAGGUGGGAUAAAAAUGAAACAUCAUCAUUGGUCUUAUAUCUAUGAUUGAGUAUCUGAACCAUCCUGGGUCCAUUUUAUUCAUGCAGCCAAGGUUCUUUUCAAAGCUCCAAUGAGAAUAAAACUUUGAUGAGUGGUUUGCAAGGUGGUUUGCAAGUCUCCAUCAGAAGUCAUGGGUUUUUAUCCCUUAGAGCUGCGGAAUAUUUUUGGUUCAAUGGGCCAAAUUCUUAUCAGGGGCAUGGAGAAGUCCCUGCUUUCCUUCACCUAGCUUGGCAAAAAGGGAUCCCCCUGCUAUGGCUCUAUGCAUCUCUUUCCAGCAAACUGAGCAAGAUUUAAGCCCCACUUGUCAGCUGUGUUAUCAGUGUUACAACAAUUUAAUUACUUUUAUAUACCUAAAAUGAUCUAACAAAAAUGCAGUGCAUAAAACAUCUUUUGGCAUCUUGG